CCGAAUCCUCAUGGUCUGUGGCUAUUUAAGGGCAUGACGGCUUUGGCUCCAAGCUCCCAAUGGAAACAUAUUUGCUGGAAAAUGCAAUGCCAGCACUAGUGACUCAUUUAUUGACUUCCGUCUUUCUCCCUACCCCAGAGAAUGGGCGUAUUAGGCAAGCCUUGCUUGUCAGCUUGUGUUGGAACCCCAAGGGAGCCACGAGAAUAACAACCCAGCCACACUAGCUCCAGAGAGAUUGACGGAUUCAUUGAAUAUCAACAGGAAGAAACGGUGGGAAAAGAAUGACAUCACGUUGACAAGCGCCCAUGUCCCCUCGCCCCUGAGUCCAGCUGGUGAAGCACCAUGCUUUGGCUUUCCCUCCCGCGGAGCGGUGCCGUCCUCCCUGGGUCUGGUCGGAUCUUCGGGAAGCUGGAUCCAGGAAAGCAUUCCAGGAGGUAGGGCCCUGGGGCUGGUGGACUGUGGGUCUUGGUCCCUCACAGAAUGACUCAGGGGAUCUUAGCCGGGCUCGAACUCUCCUCUCUGGCCAUUAUGGAAUUUUCAGGCCCAUCAUUGGCCAGAGACCUAAAUUCAGUUCAAAGUCAGAGAAAGUUUCUCUUUGGCUGAAGGACAAGAAGAGGGGAGGCUCUGGGUGCCAUGCUAGGGACCAGAGGGUCCCCUCUCCUUUAUCCACUGCUGACAGUCAGUACUCCCUAUUAGAACCAAGAGCAGGUUGGAGGCGUCCUCAUGGGUGUUCAAAGGGCAACAUGCCGAACAUGUGUGGUGUGUUUGCUUGUGGGCAGGUGGGGGCGGGAGCACAUCUCACAUGGGAAGGUCCCUUUGGUGUGAGGGUCCCUCAACCAUACAGCACAAAGUGACCACAUUCAAGGGCCUCAUCGCCGUGGGUGAAGCCUGUGAGGAGACAGAACCACUUCCCUAGGACAGUUUUCAUUAGUAACAUGAUUUCAACAUCACCGAAAAGGGAGGGUGCCAUUUCCUGCGAUGGUUUUCGUUACUGCCCUCCCCACCUGGAGGUGGUUCUUGAGGCCUGACAGGCUCUUUUGGGGAGGAGACCCAAGCUGUCAUGCUGAGGAGGCUCCCAAGCUGCAGCCCCUCGGAGGUGGGGGAAUAGGCAGGGAGCUUGGGGAGCUAGGAGGAGGAAGAGGUGGGAGGGGGAGGACAAGCACCGGGCCGGGCCAGGGAGGUUCCCAUUGCCUCCUCAGCCCUGUGGACUCAGAGCCAUGUCCUCCCUGGGGACAGGGUCCAUCCAGCCCCUCAUGCCCUAGAACCAGGAACUCAUCCCAGAAUCACCCUCCUUGUGUGUGGGAUCAGAGAGGUUUCCUAUGAACAUAAGUCAUUAAAAC
rnacentral:lncRNA from 1 species